CGGGAGGGGGACGGGCUCGCGGACUAUCCGGGCUGAGGAGACCCGGGGGCGGAAGGUCAGUCAGCGGGGAAGAGUCCGUCGUGCGUCGCUUUCAUUGCCUCAGGGAAAGGACCGGGCGUGCUCACGAGCCCGGUAACUCCUGGCUUUAUCCUCCGCUUCCUAAGCCUGGUUCAACUGGGUGUCUCCCUGGUGAAACGUCACGUUGGCAAAUCCAGCAGUGAGUGGCCUUCUGAUUUCCCAGCAAGGUCCAAGUUCAGUUCCAUAUUAGGCAUAAAACUCCUACUUCAAAAGCUACCAGAGUACUGUGAAAGAAGAAACAGUGUUGUCGAAGGCUGCUGAUAUUGCCUAUUAGCCAGAAGAAAGAACUUGAAUCUGGCAAAGAAGUGUGGUAAACAUCCUACCCAGAUCUGCAUGUGCUAAGUAUCCAGUUCGUCAGCUAAAAACUUUGGAGUUAGACAUAUGGACUGCCCGUCCUAAGGGAAGAAUCAGAGGAGAAGGGAUACAAGACCCCAGGAGCACACCCAGCACGUUAGUAUGCAUGCUGCGUCUCUCUGAAAUGGUGGAACCUGUUUGUUUACCUCUUCUGGAGAAUGGCUGCCUGUAGCAGACACAGGAGUUGUCCUCAUACUGUGCGUCCUGACUUCCACAGGAAUUUGAGUUGUAGCUGCAAUGCAGCUACCAACCAGGGAUACAGUUUCUCAGCUCCACGCCUUGCACCUACAGCUAAGUGUGGCCAUGUGACCGGUUUUCAUCAAUUAAGUAUGAAUAGAAACAAAGUACACCACCUUCAUUUGGAGGCUUUGAAGAAGCAACUACCCUUCAUUUUCUCUCUUUCACCUUGUAGUGGGGGGAUACAGAUGACAAUAAGGCCCUGGGUGAUGAGGCAGCCACAGGAUGCAAAAUGCCUCAGACCUGAGUCACCACAUGGAAGAGACAAGCUACUGACCUAAAAGAUCCACCCUGGUCUAUAGAUGAACAAGAAAUAAACUUCUAUUAUGUUUGAACAUUGCAGAUUUUGUUCUGUUAUAGCAGUUUAUCUCACUCUGACUAAACUGUUACCUGUCUUUCAAGAGAUAGGCAAGUUUAGCCAGGGUGUCCUCCUUUCCUGAAAGUGAUUUUUUCAUAUAUGUAAUCUAUAUGUUAAUUCAUACUCUCCAAAGCAUAUCCACAUCUAUUCAACUAUGCUUAUGUGUUCCAUCAAC